GGCCGUCUAGCUCAGUUGGUUAGAGCGUCGUGCUAAUAUUGCUUGGUUCAAUUCCUGCAUUCUUACGCGAAGGUCUUGGGUUCGACCCCCACGAUGGCCA